CCUACGGGAGGCAGCCGUGAGGAAUAUUUGUCAAUGGCCGCAGGGCUGAACCAGCCAAGUCGCGUGAGGGAUGACGGUCCUACGGAUUGUAAACCUCUUUUGUCAGGGAGCAAAGGUCCCUACGUGUAGCGCUUUGGGAGUAACCGAAGCAAAAGGCACGGGUAACCCCGUGCCAGCCGGCGCGGUAAUACGGAGGAUGCGAGCGUUAUCCGGAUUUGUUGGGUUUAAAGGGGGCGCAGGCGGAAUGUCAAGUCAGCGGUAACAUUUCGGGGCUCAACCCCGUCGUGCCGUUGAAACUGGCGUUCUUGAGUGAGCGAGAAGUAUGCGGAAUGCGUGGUGUAGCGGUGAAAUGCAUAGAUAUCACGCAGAACUCCGAUUGCGAAGGCAGCAUACCGGCGCUCAACUGACGCUCAGGCACGAAAGCGUGGGUAUCGAACAGGAUUAGAUACCCUUGUAGUC
rnacentral:rRNA from 1 species